GAUGAAGAACGCAGCGAAAUGCGAUAAGUAUUGUGAAUUGCAGAAUUCAGUGAAUCAUCGAAUCUUUGAACGCACAUUGCGCCCCUUGGUAUUCCAUGGGGCAUGCCUGUUCGAGCGUCAUUUGUACCUUCAAGCUCUGCUUGGUGUUGGGUGUUUGUCUCGCCUCUGCGUGUAGACUCGCCUCAAAACAAUUGGCAGCCGGCGUAUUGAUUUCGGAGCGCAGUACAUCUCGCGCUUUGCACUCAUAACGACGACGUCCAAAAGUACAUUUUUACACUCUUGACCUCGGAUCAGGUAGGGAUACCCGCUGAACUUAAGCAUAUCAAUAAGCGGAGGA
rnacentral:misc_RNA from 1 species